AUUGAACGCUGGCGGCAUGCUUUACACAUGCAAGUCGAACGGUAACAGGCCGCAAGGUGCUGACGAGUGGCGAACGGGUGAGUAAUGCAUCGGAACGUGCCCAGUCGUGGGGGAUAACGCAGCGAAAGCUGUGCUAAUACCGCAUACGAUCUAUGGAUGAAAGCGGGGGACCGUAAGGCCUCGCGCGAUUGGAGCGGCCGAUGUCAGAUUAGGUAGUUGGUGGGGUAAAGGCCCACCAAGCCAACGAUCUGUAGCUGGUCUGAGAGGACGACCAGCCACACUGGGACUGAGACACGGCCCAGACUCCUACGGGAGGCAGCAGUGGGGAAUUUUGGACAAUGGGCGCAAGCCUGAUCCAGCAAUGCCGCGUGCAGGAAGAAGGCCUUCGGGUUGUAAACUGCUUUUGUACGGAACGAAAAGGUCUGGGUUAAUACCCUGGGCCGAUGACGGUACCGUAAGAAUAAGCGCCGGCUAACUACGUGCCAGCAGCCGCGGUAACAC
rnacentral:rRNA from 1 species